GAUCAUGGCUCAGGACGACGCUGGCGGCGUGCCUAACACAUGCAAGUCGAACGGGAACUUCUUUAAAGGGAUUCUUCGGAAUGAAUUUGAUUAAGUUUAGUGGCGGACGGGUGAGUAACGCGUGAGUAACCUGCCUCUAAGAGGGGAAUAACAUUCUGAAAAGAAUGCUAAUACCGCAUAAUAUAUAUUUAUCGCAUGGUAGAUAUAUCAAAGAUUUAUCGCUUAGAGAUGGACUCGCGUCCGAUUAGUUAGUUGGUGAGGUAACGGCUCACCAAGACCGCGAUCGGUAGCCGGACUGAGAGGUUGAACGGCCACAUUGGGACUGAGACACGGCCCAGACUCCUACGGGAGGCAGCAGUGGGGGAUAUUGCGCAAUGGGGAAACCCUGACGCAGCAACGCCGCGUGAAGGAUGAAGGUCUUCGGAUUGUAAACUUCUUUUAUUAAGGACGAAGAAAGUGACGGUACUUAAUGAAUAAGCUCCGGCUAACUACGUG
rnacentral:rRNA from 1 species